GUAGCUUCUUGGCUUUUUGGCUAAGAUAAAGUGUAGUAUCUGUUCUUAUCAGUUUAAUAUCUGAUAUAUACACUACAAGGGGACUUUAUAUUAAACAGAUUUUUAGAGCUGGAAGAGGGGCUUGCUUUGUCCGCUCAACACAUCAACCCAGUAUUGUAGUACGACCAGUAAUGGUGCACCAUUU
ensembl:snRNA U2 U2 spliceosomal RNA